rnacentral:lncRNA from 1 species
CCGUUGUUGAAGUCCUCAACCUUCCGCUCGCUCAUGGCUCAGAGGUGGGGUGGACAACAAAAUUGACUUUUAAUGAACAUACAUCAAUAUGCGAAAAGUAGUAUUGGAGAGAGUAUAAGAUGUACCACAAUUCAGAUAUCCUGUGGCCAACACAGCCAGAACUUAAUCAGAUCACUGGAAUUUACUGCAAGUACCUGAAAGAGAGUGGUUACUGAACCUAACAGCAAGAAACUUGUGUACAGAAGCAAAGCAAAGGCAAUUAGCCCAGUUGUGACCAUUUUGUAACUUAGCAUACCGUGGUGGCCUUGAUCAGCUGAUGUGUGGAGCAUAACCCAGAAGAGAAAACGGAACAUGGUGACAAUGCAGAAGAGAGAGGAAUAGCAGCAAAAGCAAAGUCUUAGAGCAGUGAGAAGGAAUGGGAUACUGACCACAAGAGUUGGCACCAGAAGAGCACAGACUGCUGACCUCUCAGAACACACAGUUCUGCGGAGUCCUGGGGCAAAUUCAGGAGAUUUCACUGCAGCUGAAGAAAACAGAAAUUAUUUUCUGUACCUACUGAUUAUCCCUUAGAACAUGAGAGGCUGCAUUUACAGUAACUAGAGGAAGACAUAGAGCUAGAAUUUGAAUAAGCAGAUGUGAAAAUCAGUGUUUCAAAGUUACUCUUUGGAUUCUUUAUUUCUGUUAAGGUAAUCUGGAAUCUACUUGUCACAGUUUGUAGAUUUUAUGAUGCAAUUUUUGUCCAGUAAUUUUAGCAAAAACAUAUUGAAGAUGUAUAUUGUCCUGAUGAGAACUGGAGCGAGAUGGUGGAGAAAGGAGCCAUCUAAGAUUCAUGCAAUGGAUUUUCAAAUCCAAUGACUGUUUAUGAAAAUAAUUUUGUACCCUCAGCAUCUAUGUUCAAUGCAGCUGAAAUCUUCCCAGAGCGAAGAAAUGCAUCAAAAAAGAAAAAGGAAAUGAAGAAAGAGGGAAGAAAAGAGAAAAAAGAAAGGAAACAGAUUUUACUUUUAGCUCAUCUUCAGAUUUGCAAGAGACAAUAAGUGAGAUUCAU